GGGGUGGGUGUGAACACAGCGGCUCUAUCUAAAUCGUAUUCGUUCUUGCACAACUAAUGGCACGCAUCUCUUUUCGUGAGUACAUGUAGCAAAACCUACUACUUCAUUUUAAAUCGGGUGAAUAGUUGUCUCAUUGGCAAGCAUACCAUAUCUCCGUAUUUUCACGGAUAUUUGAUGACAAGUCUCAUUGGUUGAUGUUAUAUUAU
rnacentral:lncRNA from 1 species